rnacentral:lncRNA from 1 species
UUUUAACAAAUAAUGCUUUAGGAAUAUAUUCUCCCCUAACAUCCUGCUCCUUUUUACUUCCCAGGUAUAAAAGCCAACAACAACACAGCGUGCAUGUUUUAUGUCAAAUAGAAAGAACUGCUCCAGGGAAUUGUUGGCCUCAAACUCCACAGACUUCAUCCCCGACUGGCACAAGACACAUCACAAUUCUGGAAACUGCGUAACCAGCAGGGAUUCACUAUGCACACAGCACGCUUACCUAGCCCCCAGGAACAGCUGAGCCAAGAGAGAGAAGGACUAAAGCAACCCUUGUGCCGUGCAGUCACGACCGAGACGCCGACAUACUGUUUGGAGCAAUGGAGCGGAACAAGCGACGCAGAAGAAGGAAUCCUGGAGGAGCAUAAAAACUGUAAGGAGCCGCGUGGACCCCUGCCGAUGCUGCCUGCGAGGGGAGACACCUGA